rnacentral:rRNA from 1 species
GAUGAACGCUGGCGGCGUGCCUAAUACAUGCCAGUCGAGCGAACAGACGAGGAGCUUGCUCCUCUGACGUUAGCGGCGGACGGGUGAGUAACACGUGGAUAACCUACCUAUAAGACUGGGAUAACUUCGGGAAACCGGAGCUAAUACCGGAUAAUAUAUUGAACCGCAUGGUUCAAUAGUGAAAGACGGUUUUGCUGUCACUUAUAGAUGGAUCCGCGCCGCAUUAGCUAGUUGGUAAGGUAACGGCUUACCAAGGCAACGAUGCGUAGCCGACCUGAGAGGGUGAUCGGCCACACUGGACCUGAGACCCGGUCCAGACUCCUACGGAAGGCAGCGGUAGGGAAUCUUCCGCAAUGGGCGAAAGCCUGCCGGAGCAACGCCGCGUGAGUGAUGAAGGUCUUCGGAUCGUAAAACUCUGUUAUUAGGGAAGAACAAUGUGUAAGUAACUAUGCACGUCUUGACGGUACCUAAUCAGAAAGCCACGGCUAACUACGUG